UCCUUCCUUCCUUCUUCCCUCCCUCCCUCCUCUUUCCCCCCAGUCAGUGCCCCUCCACCCUCAUCUGCCUCCCAUGUCGUAUCGCACGCCAUCACAUCAAUCUUCUAUUCUCUGGCAGUUUGUGUUGCCACCUGUCAUGCAGCAAGCUUCUUUUAGUCCCGUCAUGAUGUGUAACGUCCUAUCGUGAUGCAUAAUGUAACUAAUGUAAUUUAGUUUUGUGAUCAGAUUGUUUAUUAUGCUUAUUGUAACCCAUGAAGGUUUAUUUUUGGUUCCUUAACAGUCCAGUGCCCAAAGUGGCUAAGGACUGUCUGUUGUGUGUGGCUCCCAUCACCGCCUCUUUCUGCUGCUGCUGCUGAGCCUUUUCCAGCUGCUCCAUCACUGUCUUGCAUCAGUGUGUUCCAACAUUGCUCUGCUGUCUGUCCUACUAGCAGGAGUCUGGCUUUAAGUUUUUGCUGCCAUCACUGCUGCCGGCCAUCAUGUGGCACUCAUCCUUGUGUCACAGAAAGUCCAUGCAAGUGUUGACGGUUCACCCGCCUGUGGCUUCCUGCUCCCACACCAGGCCACAGCUACCAUCUGGGCAGACCACACAGCCGCUGGGCUCACCUGCGUAGUGCUGAGUGUGGACGCAUUGAGGCAGAGGCUGUGCUGUGGCUCACCGCCUCUGUCAGGGCUGUUGUCCCUCAGCACCAGGCGUGUACAGUCUGAAGGUGGUGUGGCCUGAUAACCUGCAGGGCUCCUCUCACCCGCACCUCCCUGCACCGUCACAGUGCUGCCGUGCCCUUGUUCCCAGGCAUUAUGGCUGUUGGUGCAUGGCAUUGACUUUAUAUCAUUUGAUAAAAAAUUUAUUCACCCUUACACGAAGGGGAUUUUGGUGCCCAUCAUCACCUCUAUGAAAUGGUUUGUGGUUGCUAUGACGCCCGUCACACAGCCCAUGCUGCUGAUGCUGGGCAAGUCAUAACCGCAGAGGGACCUUGGCCUGCUGGGUGUGUUGUACGCUAGAGGUAGAGAAGACUGCUGAGAAAGUUUCAUAUUUUAAAUGUUGGAGAAUUCAAUCAGUGACACUUUUUUCUUCUUUUAUUCAUGUGAUUUAUUUGACUCUGUCCACUGAAGUACAGAAGUCUGAACCGUGGAAAAGAUAAAGGUGAGAGUACUGGUUCUGUGAAGAGAAGGAAAGCUACAUGCUUUGCUAAUAUGAUUUUGAUGACUUGAAAUCCAGUACUAUAUGAUAACACACACACACAUGCUGGUACCUAUUUUAGCGCGUUCAUGUUUAAGAAUCUGUUUAUUCCCACGUAUCUUUUCAUUAGUAUGUAUAACUUCCUCGGUAGCCUCGUAGCCCCUCCCCAUCACCCCCACAGCUAGUCACCCGCCGCUCAGUCACUCCGCUGCUGCCUUACUGACUCAAGAUUGGCGCCAUUGCUUUUGGACUGAGGUUAACACUCAAUGCUUUCACUCACGCUUGACCAGAGAGAGAGCGAGUGUGUGAGAGAGAGCGUGUGUGAGAGAAAGUGAGACAGUGAAUGUUAUGUGUGUGUGUGCGUGUGUAUGUAUGUUUUGCACUAGUUUGUAGUAAAAGCUAGUCGUACAGAGGAAGCAUCGGGGGUUGUGUUUGUGUGUGGUGGAUGAGUCGCAUCUCCGAGACUCCGAGACGUAAACUUUGUCGCGAUUUGAAGUCACACACAUAUUAUAGACCUCCUGUUAUUUUCUUUCCAUACUCUUGAGUCCUAGAAAUCAUAGUCCCUGCAUCUGAUUUAUUAUUAUGCAUCGCCUUUCUUUCAUCAUUGUAAACACACACACAUACGUAUAUAUAUGAGAAAUAGAGAUGUUUCGUUUAGUCUGCAUAUUAUAUAAGUUACCCCUCUAUUGCAGCAUUUUCUCUAGGUAGGAUACAUUAUUGCUCAUUUUCUUUACAUUAUUAUGCAUCGUCCUUCUUUUCAUCAUUGUAAACACACACACAUACGUAUAUAUAUAAGAAAUAGAUGUUUUGUUUAGUCCGCAUAAUGUCUAAGUUCCCCCUCUAUUGCAGCAUUUUCUCUAGGUAAGAUACAUUAUUGCUCAUUUUCUUUACAUUAUUAUGCAUCGUCCUUCUUUUCGUCAUCGUAAUCACACAUACACACACAUAUAUAUAAGAAAUAGAUGUUUUGUUUCGUCUGCAUAUUAUCUAAGUUCCCCCUCUAUUGCAGCAUUUUCUCUAGGCAGGAUUCAUUGUUGCUCAUUUUCUUUACAUUAUUAUGCAUCGUUCUUCUUUUCAUCAUUGUAAUCCCACACACAUAAUAUAUAUAAGAAAUAGAUGUUUUGUUUAGUCUGCAUAAUGUCUAAGUUACCCCUUUAUUGGAGCAUUUUCUCUAGGCAGGAUUCAUUGUUGCUCAUUUUCUUUACUUACUCUCCUUGUUGCUUAUCUUUACUUAGUUUCUUCUCUCUGCAAAUAUCUUAUGUGUGUCUUCGGGAACUGUGACCCAUUGCAGUCUCAUACCAUAUUCUUCUAAGUUACCCUUCUAUUGCAGCAUUUUCUCUAGGCAGGAUUCAUUGUUGCUCAUUUUCUUUACUUAAUCUCCUUGUUGCUCAUCUUUACUUAGUUUCUUCUCUCUGCUGCAGGAAAAUAUCUUAUGUGUGUCUUCGGGAACUGUGGCCCAUUGCAGUCUCAUAUCAUAUUCUUCUAAGUUACCCCUUUAUUGCAGCAUUUUCUCUAGGCAGGAUUCAUUGUUGCUCAUUUUCUUUACUUAAUCUCCUUGUUGCUUAUCUUUACUUAGUGUCUUCUCUCUGCUGCAGGUAAAUAUCUUAUGCGUGUCUCCGGAAACAGUGACGCAUUCCAGUCUCAUACCACACUCACAGCAGCCUUCGUCCCUGCACCAGCGCCGAGGUCUAGAUGGAAAGGGUGGUUUUGUUUACAAUAUUACAAUACAUGAGGUGAAGGGAGGAAAUGCUACCUCGUGAAUGUGCAAUGCUGAGGAACCGUAGCCAUAAGACGGAAAUAUAUGAUUUUUUGGACCACCACUGAUAAUGUCGAUUUGUCUUACGUAUGAUUUUGUUAAUGUCGUAUUAGUAUUUAUUAAGUUAUGUGACUAUUUUCGCUUUUUGAUUUCUGUUUUUUGGGGUGGAAUUAUUCGGAAGUGCUGGAUUUUCACAGAUUUAACCCCGUAACUGCCGAUUUCCUGCAAGAAGACAUCACCAAGCUACAGGAAUGGAACAAAAAGUGGCUGCUACAAAUCAAUGAAGAAAAAUGUAAAGUCCUGCACCUUGGUUGGGGAAAUCCAGCACACCAAUACUACCAUACGGGAAACACUCCACUAUCCACCACUGAGGCAGGCCAUGUUUAAGGAUUCAGGCAUAAGAUGUGAGAAAGUCAAGCUGUCGGUCAUUAAGGAAAGUUUAGCAAAAUUAUAACCUUUAGUAAGAGAGAAAUUGAUUUGUGUGAUAGAUGCAUGUUGCUGCUGAUUGGAGGAUAUUAAGUGAUAAGUGAUAUGUUAGAGUACAAGACAGUUAUGGUUUUGAUAAGAGGAAAGUAUAUAUUUGUAUUUAAAGAUUUCACUGAUAUGUCUCUGAUGGGAGGAAGGAAAACUUGUAGAUCUUCAGAGGUUAGCAAAAUUACAACUUUAAGAGGAAGGUUUAUUUGUGUUCUAAAGAUUUCAGUGUUAUGCCUUUGGUUGGAGGAAAUUUAACUAAAUAUUUAGAUUAGCAAAAUUACAUCUUAGUAUGAGAAGUUUAUUUACACAGAGGUCAGCAAACUUGCAACUUAUUUAAGAGAAGAGUUUAUAUAUAUUCAAAAGACUUCCCUGAUAUGCUUUUUUAAUGGGAAGAAAUUAAACUCUAGAUCAGUAGUUCCCAACCAGGGUUCCAUGGAAGAAUUUCAAGGGGUUCAUAGAGAUUCUGAUUAUUUUGAAAUUCAUUAUACCAGAAUUAGGAGACAUGUGGCUCGGAAUAAACUUCAUACUAGUGUACACAAUCCUUAAAACUGAUUGCUUAAAUGCUAGAAUUGCUCUACAUUAGCUAACAAUACCAGGGGUGUCAGACUCACGGCCCACAUGACAAACUUGGCCCUUGGGAUGGUCAUGAGUGGCCCCGAGAUGGAGGGGUCCACAGGUGAAUAGGUGACUGGAAAAGAGGGAAUGGACAAAAAAGGUUGGGAACUAUUGCUCUAGAUCUUUUAAGUUUAGCAAAAUUACAGCUUAUAUAGAGAAAGUUUAUACUCAAAAGACUUCACUGAUAUGUCUUUAAUGGGAGGAUACUCUAAACUUAAGAUCUUUAGAGGUUAGCAAAAUUACAACUCAUAAGACAAGUUUAUUUACAUUCAGAAGAUGAGGAAGGUCAAGAUUACGCUUCUCUCUUCCUGUUCUUUGUCGAGUUUUCCUCCCAUCACUUAAACAAGGAGCUGAUGAUGCGAUAUGUUCCGUCACUUGUCUUGGAGAACGCUGGAGGCUGUGUGUUGGGAAAUGCAUACUAUACCUUAUUUUGUGUGCCUAUAGCUUUUAUUAUCAUUAUCUGCCUCUGUUGUAACUUUUUUGUCAUUUUUUCAUCUCUCGCUCUUGUGUAUACUUUAACUCUUUAAUUUUUUUUCUUUCUCUUUAUCUGAUUCUCUUUAUACUUACUGAACUCUAGCACUCUAUUUCUCUCUUUUUCUCUCUCUAUAGCUUAGUCUCUCUAUAUGUACUUGUUUAUAUUGUAGUUCCCUUCUUUUGCAUUCUUUUCUGUCACUCUAUCUUAAACUAUCUAUAUUUGCCUAUAGCUUAAAUCUUUCUUAUUUCCUUUAUUAUUUCUCUCUAUCCCUAUCUCUAUCUAUACCUGCCCAUAUCGUAACUAACUCUCUUUAUUUUCUCCCAUUCUCACUUUCUUCCUGCUCAUAUCUUAACUAUCUCAUUUCUCUCUUCUUUUUCUCUUCCUUUUCUCGCUCUCGCUGUCUCUCUCUCUCUCUCUCUUUCGUUAAUACAUGCUAGUCAGACCGAGGUUUAAUAUGCAGGAACGAAGGCUGUCAGUGGAGGGGCUGAUGUCAAGUGUUUUCUGGAGUCACCAAAUAGCUAUUCCUUCUUACCCAACGUUGUGUGUGUAUGUAUGUAUGUAGUCUGUUUCCGCUCAUUUGGGGUCUGUUCGCCAAUUUGUACGCAGCGUUCCAAUUGGUGCGGAGGAAGAGAACUUGUGGAAAAUUGUGUUUUGGGAAAAUUUUGAUCUUUUGUGAGAUUGGAAUUAGUCAGGAAAAUUGUUGUUUGAAAUCCAUAGUACAGAAAAUUAUCAAAAAAACAUUGUGUAAGUUGAUCAAAACCCGAAAUAGUGAAAAUUAUAUAAAAAACUAGAUUAUUGGACUUUCUAUAAUUGAUUAUAUACUUGAAAAAAAUGUCAGUUGUUCGAAAUCCAUAGUAGUACAGAAAAUCAUUAAAAAAAAAACAUAAGAAAAUUAGAAGCUGAAGGAAAAAGAAAUGAGAAGGGAAAUGACGUAGAAAAGAAAGGAAAGCGAGGAAAACAUGAGAGGAAGGAAAAGGAAGAAGAAAAACAUGAAGAUAAUGAAAAAGAAAGGAGAAAAUAGGAUACGGAGAAGAAGGAGGGAUAGGAGGAGGAAGAGAGAGAGGAGGUAGAGGAAAAUAAAACAAGUUAUCAGAAAUCCAAAAUGCUAGAAAUAAUCAACAAGCUUUUUGCAGACUUUUAUACUUCAAUUAAAUAGUUUCAAGAUGCAAAAUUCUCUCUAAUGAUGACACGCAUACUAAUUAGAUCUAUGCAUACUUUUUUAUACUUCAAUACGAUUUUUCCAGAGUGCAUAGUUCUCUCUGAUGACACGCAUACUAAUUAGAUUUAUGCAUACUUUUUUAUACUCCAAUACGAUUUUUCCAGAGUGCAUAGUUCUCUCUAAUGCUGAUAUGCGUACUAAUUUUACCUCUGCGUACCAAUGGGCAAACACCCCCUCGACCACCACCCCCAACCCCAUUUCUAUACAUAUAUCCAAAGUUCAUUUAUAUACUCCUUAAUUUGCUAACUUGUUUUGAGAUACAUAUAUUUGAUAGGCCUGCGUGAUCGGCCGUGGAGGCGCGGCUUGUAAAGUAUGUACUGCUGUUGCUCUUACUACUGCUACUGUUUAGGUUAAGACGCGAGACAUUGUAAAAUAUAUUGAGGUAAAAAUAAAAUUACUCUUUCGUGA